rnacentral:rRNA from 1 species
UAGACCUGGCGGAUGCUUUCACAUGCAAGUCGAGCGGCAGCGCGGGGCAACCUGGCGGCGAGCGGCGAACGGGUGAGUAAUACAUCGGAACGUGCCCAGACGUGGGGGAUAGCCCGGCGAAAGCCGGAUUAAUACCGCAUGUGAUCUGAGGAUGAAAGCGGGGGACCUUCGGGCCUCGCGCGUUUGGAGCGGCCGAUGGCAGAUUAGGUAGUUGGUGGGGUAAAGGCUUACCAAGCCUGCGAUCUGUAGCUGGUCUUGAGAGGAUGAUCAGCCACACUGGGGACUGAGACACGGCCCAAGACUUCUACCGGGAGGCAGCAGUGGGGGAAUUUUCGGACCAUGGGCGCAAGCCUGAUCCAGCCUUCCGCGUGCAGGACGAAGGCCCUCGGGUUGUAAACUGCUUUUGUACAGAACGAAAAGUCUGUGGCUAAUACCUGGGGAUCAUGACGGUACUGUAAUAAUAAGCACCGGCUAACUACGUGCCAUCAGCCGCGGUAAUACGUACGGUGCAAGCGUUAAUCGAAAUUACUGGGGCGUAAAGCGUGCGCAGGCGCGUGAUGUAAGACAGUUGUGACAAUCCCCGGGCUCAACCUGUGGAACUCCAUCUGAUGACUGCAUAUGCAUGCAGUUGCGGCACUACGGGCGAUGGAAUUCCGCGUGUAGCAGUGAAAUGCGUAGGAUAUGCGGAGGAACACCGAUGGCGAAGGCAAUCCCCUGGGCCUGCACUGACGCUCAUGCACGAAAGCGUGGGGAGCAAACAGGAUUAGAUACCCUGGUAGUCCACGCCCUAAACGAUGUCAACUGGUUUGUUGGGGAAUUUGCUUUCUCAGUAACCGAAGCUAACGCGUGAAGUUC